GACGAACGCUGGCGGCGUGCCUAAUACAUGCAAGUUGAGCGCUGAAGGUUGGUACUUGUACCAACUGGAUGAGCAGCGAACGGGUGAGUAACGCGUGGGGAAUCUGCCUUUGAGCGGGGGACAACAUUUGGAAACGAAUGCUAAUACCGCAUAAAAACUUUAAACACAAGUUUUAAGUUUGAAAGAUGCAAUUGCAUCACUCAAAGAUGAUCCCGCGUUGUAUUAGCUAGUUGGUGAGGUAAAGGCUCACCAAGGCGAUGAUACAUAGCCGACCUGAGAGGGUGAUCGGCCACAUUGGGACUGAGACACGGCCCAAACUCCUACGGGAGGCAGCAGUAGGGAAUCUUCGGCAAUGGACGAAAGUCUGACCGAGCAAUGCCGCGUGAGUGAAGAAGGUUUUCGGAUCGUAAAACUCUGUUGGUAGAGAAGAACGUUGGUGAGAGUGGAAAGCUCAUCAAGUGACGGUAACUACCCAGAAAGGGACGGCUAACUACGU
rnacentral:rRNA from 1 species